rnacentral:rRNA from 1 species
AACGCGAAGAACCUUACCUACUCUUGACAUCCAGAGAAUUUAGCAGAGAUGCUUUAGUGCCUUCGGGAACUCUGAGACAGGUGCUGCAUGGCUGUCGUCAGCUCGUGUUGUGAAAUGUUGGGUUAAGUCCCGCAACGAGCGCAACCCUUAUCCUUUGUCGCCAGCGAUUCGGUCGGGAACUCAAAGGAGACUGCCGGUGAUAAACCGGAGGAAGGUGGGGAUGACGUCAAGUCAUCAUGGCCCUUACGAGUAGGGCUACACACGUGCUACAAUGGCGUAUACAAAGAGAAGCGACCUCGCGAGAGCAAGCGGAACUCAUAAAGUACGUCGUAGUCCGGAUUGGAGUCUGCAACUCGACUCCAUGAAGUCGGAAUCGCUAGUAAUCGUAGAUCAGAAUGCUACGGUGAAUACGUUCCCGGGUCUUGUACACACCG